rnacentral:tRNA from 1 species
AUGUAGCCAAGUGGAUCAAGG